AGUCCUGGAAGUACAAGUGAAAAAAGAAAUCCUAUUUUAGCAUGAACAUGCACCUCCAAUUUUUUAGCUCUUACUAGCAGUUCCUGUAUACACAAACAUGUGAGAAGUCUCCAAAGAGAAGUUUCAGUUUUGCAAGCAAAAAAACAAAAACAAAAAAAACUAAUCACAUCGAAGAAAAGUAGGCACUGCACUUUCUAGAUGACAGUAUUAAUAUAUAAUUAUUUUAGAAGAAACUAUGAAUCUGUUUAAAUCCCCAAAGUUAAAUAACCUAAUCAGAUCACUUAGAGAAAUAGGUGCUUUUCGCUGCCCUGCCCUAAGAUCAUAUUGCUAUUUAACCUGCUUUUAAACAAACAAGAAUUUUUAAACAUUUUCUAUCCUUUAAGCAAAUGUUCUUUGCUUGGCUAAAUGACAAUGUUCAAGAAAUGCCUACCACAGAAGCAUAAAAAACCCCUGGCAACAUUCCAGAAGAAAUUCACCCCGCAUAAUGUGUUCCAGCUAAUGCUCAAUAGCUUUCGGGUGAACCUGCUGGCUCUGUGUGCCCUUGAACAGAAUCUGAAAAGAACAAAAGAAAAACUGAUAGACAUUUUCCCUUUUGUGAGUCUGGUGGAACUUUCCAAACUUCGAAAAAUGUACGGCUACCAUGAACCCGGCCCUGGGCUCUGAUGUAAACUUUGUUUUACUACCUUUGCUUCCCUGAAAUUCAACUAUAAUUAUAUUGCUUGUCUUUUCAUCCAAUAAAAUGUGCAUUAGCAUUUGGUCCUCUUUAGAGUGUAGUAUUUGUUUAGAUGAAUGUAUUCUUUCAAAUGAUUAGCAGUGCUGCCACAAUGAGAACGCUUUAGAUUAAACUCUUGAUAUGGUAUUGAAAGGAGGGAGAUCAGCUCAAAAUGCUUCCAAAGUGUGCUCAUAACUGGCUGAGGCUAUCGACUUUUCUAGAUAUGUAUGAGAAUUUCACCAACCGCAAAAGACUUUAAGAUGAAAUCCCUGGCCCUUUUAUAAAUGAAAAAAACAACACGAGAGUUCCUAUUGUGGCUCAGCAGGUUAAGAACCCAACUAGAGUCCAUGAGGAUGCAGGUUCAAUCUCUGGCCUCGUUCAGUGAGUUAGGAUCCCGCGUUGCCUUGAGCUGUGGUGUAGGCUGCAGAUGCAGCUCAGAUCUGGCGUUGCUGUGGUUGUGCUGUAGGCUGGCAGAUGCAGGUCCGAUUCGACUCCUAGCCUGGGAACUUCCAUAUGCCAUGGGUACAGCCCUAAAAAGUCCAAAAAACUGAAAAUAAAAAAUUAAAUCAUUGGCCAUUUUACAUCUCUGAAGCUGUAGUGAUACAUUUGGCGCCAAUUCUCUCUGGACAUGGGAGGCUGCAGCAUUGGGUGGGAGGGCUGAUACAGAGUGCAUUUGACCUUAAAUGCCCUGGAUGGAGGAAGAGGAGGAUGCUUGGAAAGAUAACAUUGUCUCCAUUUGAUGUUCUAGGACAUGUGCAUGGAAUUGAAACAACCCAUUUUGCAGGCAAGAAGCUAUAGAUGCAAAUGCCACGCCUGGGGAAAACUGGACCCUGGGGAAGGAUGGAAGGCACUGGGGCUUGCCCUCACAGGCCCUCCCACUAUGGGGCCACCAGCCUGCUCCACGCAGAGCCUUCUCCGGGUUCCCUGGGGGACCUCUUGGAGGAGUGCAGCAGGAAGACUAUCGAUUGGCUCGGGACAUAAAAUAGACUAUUGACGGUAUCUCAGAGAUACCCCCAACAGGAUGGAAAAGAAAGGACUCACCCACAACUUUAAUGGCCAAAUAUAAAACACUGAAAUGUGCUCUGCUGGUUGUAACAUUCUCUUGGCAUUUCUUCAUUUAUUACUACGCUGGAAGCCUCAAAAAAAUGGAAGAGACCCAGCUCUGGGGACCUCUGAGAGGCCCUGGCUACCAGGAAGUCACGUGGUGUAUUAGGAGAAGGCAAGGCAUUUACAAAACCCUCAGCUGCUUUCUGCAGGAGAAAGCUGGGCCUCUAGACUCCCAGUCACCAGAGUGCAUUGCCAAACGCAAAGCCAGCACAAAACAGAUGAAACUACAGAGACCUUUGACUGGCAUCUUUAUCCUGAUGCCUCAAAAAGGAGCCAUGAUGAUGAUGAUUCAAGGUGCUUCCUUCCAGAUCCUUAAAGAGACACACACACUCAGAAUAAAUGAUGUUAUUUUCCGUGUUUUUCUUACUUAUGUGGUAUAAGAUUAUACACAUCCUAAAAAUUGCUUUAUUCAUUCCACAGUAUUUUGAGACUUAUCCAUGUGGCUUCAUAUAGAUUUAUUUCAAUACUCCUGGCUGCUGAUGGUACUCCAUCAUUUGAAACCACUACUUUUAUUUACCCAUAUCCCUCCUGACGUUCAGUAUUUGUCUGUGGCUGAUCCGAUGCAUUCUUCCAGCCCACUUAAGCAUUCCCUUCUUAGAAGUCUGACGGCACUUUAUUCUCCUUAGUUGUUCCACAUAUGUGUGGUCUGUUUCCCGGACGAGAAAGUUAAACUUCUAAGAGCAACUUCUAUGUCCGGCAUCUAAUCGAAUCAUUGCAUCUAUGUAAUACUCUGGUGAAUGACGAACUUUGGACUGUUGGCUCUCUCGGAGAGCUGAAGAGCAGCUCUGGACUCCCAGAGGUUCAACAAAUUCUAUCUAGUUAUUUAUUUCCUCUUGGUUUCUUAAAAGAGAAGUGCUGUAUUUUCAAAACAGGUUCAACUAAAAUUCACUUCCUUUCUUCAUCUAGAUUCGUGGCGGUGAGCAUCUCCUUAAAAUGUUCCAAAUCCGAACACCGGUGAUACCAUAAACGUUUCACCUUUAAAAGAUGAGACAGAGACAGACAGACAGACAGACGGACAGCAAUACAGAAAGAGAGAGCGAGAGAAAGAGAAGGAGGAGGGGGAAGAGAAAAAGGAGGAAGACUGAAAGGAUCCCCACCCCUCCGAAGGGCGGGGCCUGUGGCCCCUGCUGGCCUGGAGGCAAAGUCGGGCACAAAGGGCUGAUUCUCUUUGCAAAUGAAAUCUGGAUAACACACCCUCUCCCUUCUUUUCCUUGAAAAGUCUUCCCCUGCCACUUUUACUGUCAACUUUUAGGUUGCUCUUGUCAGAAUCAGUUUUCAUUUCUUUCCCUGGAAACUUUAUUCUCUGCCUCUUUCGGCUUCCUAAAGAAUUGGUUUGUUAAAGUUUUUAAUUGUUCGCGCUUUUUCUAGGGACAAUGAAGAAAGCGCAGAGUCUCCACAUCCACUCACCAGAAAUCCUCCAGAUCAUUCAACCCGACUCACAAUCAUGGCCGAAAGAGCUGCUUGGAAACUGUGAAAACCUUGCCAAAGGGACUCGCCCACUGCAUUGUUUGUUGGAGGAAAGGAGAAGGUGGGGACAUAGAAAAGCUGUGGAGGCACCCAGGUAUUCGGGGACCUCUCUGUAUUUGCGUUAGACCAUUUUUUCAUCUUGUGAAGUCAUUUUAACUCUUUCCUAGUCCAAGACACCAGCUUUUGGCUUUUUCGAGUCUGAUCCCUUUGCUCUGGCCAGGGUCCCCUUCCCCCGUGCCCCCCAAAUGCACCUACGCUUAUAUACAUGCCAUUCUGCAAAGAAUUUCCAGGAAGCCACAAAUCUCCUGAGACUAGAGAAGCCCAGGUAGAGAAGAUCUAAAAUAAGGUGAAAUUGCCAAGAAUCCAGAUGUUGGCAGAAACAGUAACAGUGACAGGCACUACAUGCACUGAUAGGAGCUACAAAAUAAAACCAAUCUCUGUAUGUGGGUGUUGGAGCCUAUUUGGGUUUGAUCCUGAGUUGGUCUUUUCAGACACACCUAUAUUUCCAUCACAGUUAGCAGGAUGAUCCAUACAUGCUCAGUGUGCCACCAUCUUUGAAUGCAAAGAAUGACUCUGGGUCGGGAAGAUGACAUGCUGGACAGGCAAAAGGCCGCACUGAUCAUGAGGAGAUGUGAUCAAAAUAUCAUCAAAAAUAUCUACAUCUGCAGCAAGUGCUAGAAAUAAGUGAAUAAGCGAUCUUGCCUUUCAGCACCCCUCACCUCAACUUCUCACCACAUCCUUGGCAUCAUUUCUUUCGGUAGCUUCUCUAUCCUACUUCAACGUCAAAGACUUCUUCAUGUGUCAUUGUCCUUAGAUCUAAUCUCUUCCAAACUCUUAGCUAUUCCCCAAACCAUACAGAUUACUGUCAUCAGAGUAACAUUUCCCAUUUACAGAGUGACUCCUAUGUGUCAACUAUGCAUGUAGCACCAAAAAUAUACUAUGCAUGUGUAUGAAAUCCAUGCAAUAACUCUGCUAGGCAGAUAGCAGUAUUUCCAUUUAAAGAGGAAAAACUUGAGGUUCAAAGAGCAGUGUCUUACUAAUGUUUCCAGAGCAAGGACCUGGCAGAACUGGGUUUAUCCUUAAUUCCAUGUGACUGCAAAUUCUCUCAGUCUUGUUGGCUCAUGCCACCAUCAUGUUUUUUCCAGAAAAUUCUUAAGAUUACGGAAUUCUCAGUUUAGAUGUUCUCAGCCUUCUUUGGCUCAUAGAAUAUUUGAGGAGAAAGGGAUCAGAGGCAAUCUUGUCUGACACACACACUUAACAAGUAAGGAAACUGACACUCACCUAGGAUGGGUUACUGGUCCAACCACGACCUUCCCUUUUCUAGUUCUCGAGGAGGCAGGAACCACAUCCUUUGGGAAGUUAUUUCCUGCUUCUCCUAGCAUAGCUCUAAGUGCACCAAACGUCUGUAGGUGGACAUUUGAUGACCAUUCCAAAAGGAGCAGAAACUCAAGUCCAGAACACCCGAACGACCGGCGCAAAGGAGGGCCAGACUCAGGUGGCAUCUACCUCAAAGGGACUUAACAAUCCAAGGUGUGCCCCUUCCUACCUCACCACCCCCCAGAAGAAGCCAAGAUAUUCCCUGGUCUUUGAAGCUAGUGUAGCAGUGAAAACAAGACAUGUAAAAUCACAGCGAAGGCAGCCCCCAAACCAGCACCUGCAUCCUAAAACCACUUCUACAGACAGCAGUGACAUGCAGCCCAAUUCAGCAGAUAAUGGCAAAGCCCUUCUCUUUCAGUCUGUGGUAGCUGGAAUGAGGAGGGAGAGGACAAGUCAGAGCUUGAAAGCUUGCUUUUAGGUUUGUUAUCAAGAACAACAAGUGACUGCCAUACUUCGAAUGUAUUUAAAAGUCCUGAAUCACAUAACUAGUCUGCCUUGCAUGGUCCUUGAAAAUGCAAAAAUAGAAAUGAAAGAAAUUAUCUAAGAGCAGCAAAGCAGGGAAACAGAGAUUAGCAUGAGAUUAGGAGUGCGGGCUGCGAUUCAUUAUUACCGAUGCUUAUAAACACUUGCUGUCUGACAGUAGUUGACAAGCCCUGCUAAGGACAGAGUAAUAAACAUGGU
rnacentral:lncRNA from 1 species